UUGCACUGGUUCGGAACCUGGUUCAUGGAUCAGUAUGAACAGGGUUUAAAUCCAGUGUUAGAUGAAACUUCAGUGAGGCAGGGGAGCAGUAUACCCUUUGCUGUGUCCCUGUUCACUCUCUGGGAACAUUG
ensembl:snoRNA